ensembl:lncRNA
AAGUUUUCUCCUAAAUGUACGACCUUUAUGAUUAAACAUAAUGCCAUGAGACCGCUUAGGCAGUUUGAUGUAGAGGAUUUAGCCACACCCCAGGUGCUGCACACUCACACUGAAGUAUUUAUGUGAUUUUUUUCACAUUUAUUUUGGCUCAUUUUGCAUUUUACAUUUUGGCGUUGCCUAUUGAUUUCAAACCACCCUCUGCCGUUGAUAAUGGAAGAGAUGCCUUUGCAAAAGACACCAGCUUCUUAUUGUUAUUACAAAAGUAAAACCAGCCAGCUGUUUAAUUCAGUUCAGAUAAUAUAAUGGAGAGAAGCUGUUGUUUGUAUGUUCUCAUCUACAUCAUAUUUUGUUCACUGAUGUGGUCAAAUUUAAUGAGUGGGCCUCGUCUGGUUGACAGGUAAUGGAACAGGAGGGUGUUAUUUGGUUCCAUAAUGAUGAAAUUCAACUUUUAUCAGCUUUUUAUAGUUCUGCCCGUCUACCAGCUUCUCUAACAGGAUGACAGGUUACCUAGCCUAUUUAUAGCCUUUUCAUAGGUUUCAUCAGCGUUGGCUUAAAAAAAGACAAAAAACACAUUCACACAGAAAUACAGAUUCAAAAAUUCACUUUUUUUUUUCUUCAUGCUAUGGUGAGGUGCUUUUGUGGUAAUUUCUUAAUUACUGUCUUCAAAAGAAUUCAGUGUUUUUCAUUUAUUUAAUGAAUACGAUUGUAUUGUGUGUUUGUCGCAAAUGGGGAGAAUGUGACAAAUACACUUGACCCAUUAGUGAACGAGAAAUCCUGUAGUUGUUUAAUUAUCCAGUUGGAUAAUUAUUUGUAGUUUUAGUUUUAAACCAUUUACUGCUUCAAGUGAGUUUUUGUUUACGAUCAAUGCUGCAAACAUGCACUGUUUACAAAUCAAGCAGGUUCCUCCUCAAUUGUUAGUUUUUACGCAAGUGUUAUUUCUGAUUGCUUCAAUGUAAAAGAUUAAUACUAAGGAAGCGAGUUGCUUUUCACGGAAAGCCAGAGGAUUUGUCUCACCCGAAUGGCAGAAUUUGUUUAAGAAAAAACAAACGUAAACUGAAUUUUAUUUUAUUAGUGGUAGUACAGUAUUUGCAUAUUAUCUAUCAACUCAAAUGCAAAAAGUGUGUCGAACCUUCCGGCGCAUUGUGGGUCUCCCGUGUGAAACUAAAUGUUGUAAACGUGCAUCUAUGAAUGACUAAUGAAAGAUUUGCGCUCUGUAACUUUUAACUAAUUGUUAUAACACUGUAUCUAACCUGUAACAAGCAGUCAGUGGUUCAGAAAUAUUUGCACUAAAUCUAACAGACAUCAGCUUUGUGGGCGGCACCGUGACUGCUUGUACUUCCUGUUAAUGAGGUUUCAGUCAGUGGCGCUUCCUUUUUCUGUUUAACUAGUUAAUGCUGUUCAUACUCUCAACCUUCUUUACUUUUAACUUCCAAAAAUGUUCUGCCAACAAUAGUUUAGACCGUGGUGAAAACUAGUUGUUUAAAAUAGUAAUUGUUAAAAAAAUAGUAAAAGUUAUAUAGAUAUUCUCCAGUGCUGAAGGCCUUUCAAGAUCACAUUGAUUAUAUUUCCUUAGAGAUGCCAAUCUCAGAUCUGAUUUUAAACCUAUUUCUAGAUAAUCACAACGACUACAUUUGCAAUGACGUUAAUCAUUAGCCCUCAUGGAGGCUUUUAUCAAAUAAUAGUUCAGACUUACAGUAUGGGCUCACAGCACAAAGCUGUCAAAGACAGAAGAGGCGGCCCGGUCUUUGUUGUAAGCCCUCGAAGUAAUGACAAAUCUGGACCUCCUCAGACUCGAAAACUAGGGUUCCAAUUAUGCUCUUUAUUCCCUUGAUGUUUUCUUUGCAUGAGCCAAGAAUAAAAAAGGAAAAAUAUAUUGACACAUCUUGGGCCGGGUUGUUCUUUUUCUUAUUUCUGUAUCAUGCUCCAUCUGAUCGAUUUGAACCUAGUGCUCUUUUUAAAAACAACUGUCGGAAAUUGUAUUUUCUUCCUAAUAAGCUACUUCUCUGAUGGAUGAUCGAAGAAUAUCCCCCCAACUAAUGAGGUUCAAAAACAACAUGCUAUCUGUGAUGUUAUGUGUGUUUCAUGCUGGGAAUCAUAAAUACGUAUGUAAAUAAAUAUAUUACAUACUGAGAUGUACAGGAUAGUAAAUAAGCCUGUUUCUUUAACCUCCUGUAGCGAUUAAACAGUAAAUCAUCUGUUACACUUUGCCAAUUUGCAUUGCGAUGGUAUUACAUGCAAGUAGACAACUCUGAAGAUGAAAUGGACAAAUUCUGCAUGCUGUAUCCUCAUUAUGUCACAGUAUGCAUUGACCUACUUCACAUUAAAAGACUAUCUGGUUGUUGUGCGGCAGGCCAAUUACUUUGUAAUUAUCAUAGAGGAAGAGAGAGUGACAGGGAGCAAACGCAUGAGGAACAGAGUGAGAGACUUGUCAUGUUAGCUCUACAGACCUUGUUCUUCUAAAGCAGUCAAAAAGCUUCAGUUGCGCCCACACACCACUCUGAACACACAGACAAGCACCCGCACACACAGCCUGAGGCACAAUCUUUUUUUUGCGUGGUCAAAAAAAGACCGAAGAGUACUUGCAAACCAGUAUGCAGAAGAUUAUAAAAGCGAAGCUUUAUCAAAAACUCACUUGUGCGGUAAUUGCUCAGCUAAUUGGCCAUUUGCAAAGUCCCGCCCCCAUCAGUUGGACUUGCUAUGACUGUCUUUUCUUCUGGCAUGGGACAUGAUGCAGUUUACGAGGAUAAUGGUAGAGGAGUGAACACUCAAAUUUCUUUGUAUUUUGUGGCAACUGGGCAGGUUUCUCAUUUCUACAAUAACUUUCACUGGCAGAUGUCUAUUGUAGCUAACUACCUAAUUAAGCUCCAUCAGUUGGCUGGGUAACAUGUCGCCGGCUGAUUUAUUUCAUGAAAAGAAAAGUAGCCGGAGUCAGAUGAAUAGCUAUAUACAUUACACCAUGCUAUAAGAUCAAGAAUCAAUGUAUUAGAAAAUAAGUCAGCAGUUGAUACACAAUGCAGAAGACUUAAGGGUAAAGAAACUACAUUAUUGUCCUAGUGUUUAAAAUAUGAUGACAAAAAUACAUAUAUGCUCACUAUUAUUGCCAUCUGACCUAACAUUGUUUGGCUACCAGUAUAAUUCCCACACCAAACCUGGCACAGAGCUUAAAAAAGCAGCAAAGCACAGCCUGAUCUCCAAAACCUGUUCGUAAAAAUGUAUACGAAAAUCUUGAACAUACAAAUUCGUAGUGAUACAUACGAGAUAAAUACGGACUGCAACUGAUGACGUCACCCUAUUCAAAGUGAAUGGGGACCUGCACCCUGUAAACACACUUUGUGAAGUCUAACGAUGUAAAAUAAACGUGUUAUGAUUGCAUUUUUAACGAGAAAUCAAUGUUAAAUUGUAAGAAUACAAUACUAACCCUAACCCCCUCAAAAAAUCCGACAUGGCGGAGAUG